UGAUGACGUCUGUGGCUGUUGACCAAGAACCUCCGAUGCCCACCUCGGCGGCCGGAACGAGCGGCGGCGCCACCGCGCUAGGAGCCGGCUUCCAGGCGUUCCUGAGCUUCCGAGGGCUCGACACUCGCGGCGGGUUCACCGACACCCUCUACCACGCCUUGGUCGACGCCGGGGUCCGCGUCUUCAGAGACGCGACGAGCUCCGCGUCGGCGAGACGAUCGGGGGAGCGCUUCUGCGGGCGAUCGACGACUCCAGGCUGUACAUUCCCAUCUUCUCCAGUUGGUAUGCUUCCAGCAAAUGGUGCCUCCGCGAGCUUGCGCGGAUCGUGGAGGACACGUCUAGAUCGAAGGGGAGCAAGAAGAUACUGCCCAUUUUCUUCGACGUCGAACCCGACGAUGUGAAGCUUAAGACCUCUCUGUACAGCGAUGCUUUGGUGGGGCAUCAGAAGAAAUUUCCCGAUGAAGUGAACGCGUGGCGAGAGGCUCUUGUAGAGGUUGGUAAAAUUAAAGGAUGGAGCUUGAAAAAUUUUGGAGGCCAAGGAGAGCUUAUGAAACUGGUUGUCGAGGAGGUGUUGGAUGAGCUCAAGACUAAACACAGAUAUGUGACUGAACAUCUAAUUGGAAUGGAUGACCGAGUAGCAGCCAUAAAAAAAUCAUUAGACAUCCACGCUGGUGGUGUACGGCUUGUUGGGAUUCAUGGGAUGGGUGGUAUAGGUAAAACAACCCUUGCCAAGGUCAUCUUCAAUCAACUGUCUUCUGAAUUUGGAAACUGCAGAAGUUUCCUUAAUGAUAUCCGAGAAGAGUCAAAGAAGGAUGGGUUAGUCAAGCUGCAAGCCAAAUUAAUAUCCGACAUUGUUAAUUCUAGAGUUAUAGGCAAAAUUGAUGACGUUGGUUAUGGAAUGAAGAGGAUCAAAGAAACACUUUGCAAUAAGAAGGCUCUGAUUAUUCUUGAUGACGUGGAUAAGAGCGAACAAAUCGAGAAAUUGAUUGGAAGUUCUUUAUAUUCAGGAACUAGAAUAAUUAUCACAACAAGGAAUAGAAGUUUGAUGCAGAUUAGGGAAUUUAAGUAUGAAAUUCUAGCUUAUGAAAUGCGGGAGAUGAAUUCUAAGGAUGCACUUCAGCUUUUCAGUCGGCAUGCAUUCUGUGGAGACUCACCGCCAGAUGAUAACAACCACCUUUCAACAGAAAUUGUCCAUGUCACGGGAGGACUUCCUCUGGCUCUUGAAGUUAUAGGCUCAUUACUUUACUGUAAAGAGGAAGUAAUAUGGAUAGAGACAUUGGAAAAGCUAAGAAGCAUACCAGAGGAGGAGGUCCAAAAGAAGUUGAAGAUAAGCUUCGAUGUCCUUGAUGAGUUUCAACGGCAUAUUUUUCUUGAUAUUGCAUGCUUUUUUGUUAGUGAGGAUAUUACCGAUCCCAUUUACAUGUGGACGGACUGUAGAUUUUUCCCACAAAGUGGGAUCAAAGUCCUUAUCAAUAUGUCCUUGAUAAAGAUAUUAAAGAACAAUAAACUUUGGAUGCAUGAUCAGUUAAGAGACCUUGGAAGGGAAAUUGUUCGUCAAGAAAAUCCGAUAGAGCCUGAGAAGCGUAGCAGGUUAUGGAUCAAAGAAGAGAUACUCGAUGUCAUAAGGUCAAAAGAGAGGAAGGGACAUGUUCAAGGACUUGAUCUAGAUGGAAGGCAUACUCAGAUCUUACUUGCAAAUGACGAGUUUGAAAGGUUCCCACAAUUAAGGUUUCUUAAAUUAUGCAAUGGAACCUUUGUUGGGGACUUUGUGAAUUGCUGUACAAAGCUAAGAUGGUUAUCUUGGGAUUCUCCUCCUCCAGAUAUUAGGGUGGCCAAUAUGUAUCUACAGAAUGUAGUUGUUCUUAAACUUUUUAACAAUCACUUCAAUGAUUUGGAUGUAUGGAGCCUAAUCAAGAUGGCAUGCAAAUUGAAAGUUCUAUCUCUUCAAGAUUGUCCUAGCAUAACAAGAACUCCAAACUUCUCUGGAUGUUCUACUUUAGAGAGGUUGACUCUUCAGUCAUGUGAUAAUUUGAUGACAAUUGACUGCUCCAUUGGGAUGUUAAAGUGCCUGGUUGAUUUGGAUAUUAGCUGCCGCUACCUCAAAGAGUUGCCUGAUGAAAUUGGAGGGCUGGUGACUCUUAAGCGCUUCUCUUUAAAGACCUGUUUUGGGCUGAGGAAACUCCCUGAGUCUAUUGGCACAACAAGCAUAAGACAACCUUGUGACAUGCGAUGGUUACGGAGUUUAUCCAAAUUGAAUGAAUUGAACUUAUGCCUGUUAAAUAUCCCUGCACCGCCUACAGAACUGGGCUCCCUUUCUUUUCUGGAAAAACUUAAUUUGUAUGGACUAGACCUGCAAUCCCUCAAGGAGCUGCCAUCAUCUCUGUUGAACUUACGAGUCCACAGUUUCAACUCAGCAGAAUUACCCAUGUCCAGCUUGAGAAACUUGUCAACUUUCAGACUCUCACGAUCAGAGAUGAUGGAAAUUCAUCUUGAUGGGCUUCAUCAAUUGGCAAGUUUGACUGUCUUGGACUGUGAACUCCUAGAGAGGCUAUCCUUUCCAUCAAACAUAAAUGAAAUUUCUGUUAUUGGUUGCCCAAAGCUAGUUGAGAUUCAUUUUCCAGGAGUUUUGGAAUCGCUUGAGAGAUUGGGUAUUGAGAGGUGUGAAUCUUUUGAAAGUUUAAGUUUUCUGCCGGAGCAAGGAUGUGAUGAGCUAACAUUUUGUGAGGGGAGAUUGUCCCUUCUAUCAAGCGCCUUUAAGAAGCUCAAAGAAUUCAGUGUUGUAGAAUGCCCAAAGCUAGUUGAGAUUCAAGUUGUCGGUAUUCUGGAAUUAUUGGAGAUAUUUUCUGUGGAUGGGUGUCUGGCUAUGGAAAGAUUAGGUGGUUUAUCAAACUUGAAGAACCUCAAGUUGUUAAGUAUGAGAGAAUGCGGUGCUCUUCAAGCUGUUGAGGGCCUCGCUCAUUUGGAGUGCUUGUGUAAAUUGCUUGUUGGUGGUUAUGGAUCAUUGGAAAGGUGGAUUGAUGUAUCGAGUGCAAAAAUUCCAGAUGAAUGCGAGAUGUUAAUUUGGGAUUGCAGUGGUUCAGUAAGUGAGAUUUGUCCACGUAAAAUUGAGUGCAUCUUAUUCAAUCUCUACAGAGAGAGGAUUCUUCUUGGACCAAACCAGGGACAUCAGAGAGAGGGGGAGAUGGUAAAAUAAGCUCCCAUGGCAAGCCUAGGGGCUGGAACAAGCAUGGUGGUGCACCGGGAGGUGAAUAUCAAGUGUUCUUGAGUUUUAGAGGAACCAACACUCCUUAUGGAUUCACCGGCUCCAUCUAUCACGCCUUGGUGGAUGCAAGCAUUCGUGUCUUCAGAUAUGAAGAUGAACUCCGUGUAAGGGAAGUGAUUGGUAGAGAGCUGCUUCGGGCUAUCAACAACUCCAUACCCUACAAACUUAUCUUUUCUCGAAUUUAUGCUACUAAUAAAUGGCGCCUCCUUGAGCUUUUCUGAUAUGGAACCUGCUGAUAUCAAGCUUAAUACAUCGUUGUAUAGUGAUGCCCUCUUCGAACACGAGAAGAAGUUCCCUGAAGUGAAGGCGUCGCGGAAGGCUCUUGUGCAGGCGAAUGAAAUCAAGGGAUGGAACCUGCAGAGGGAUAAAGGCCAGAGACAACUUAUCAAAUUGGUUGUUGAAAAUAAAGCGUAAACUUGUGACUGAGCAUUUUUAGUUGGACUCACUGAUCAGUUAGAAGUCAUGAAGUUGCAAGACAUCAAUUCUGGUGAUGUGCAUCUCAUCAGAAUUCAUGGAAUGGGUGGAAUAGGAAAAACGGCACCAGCCAAGGUCAUCUUCAACCAACUAUGUUCACACUUUGGAAAGCGAUGCAGCUCCUUGAAGAUAUUCAAAAAGUGUCGAUGAAGGAUGGCUUAGUCAAGUUGCAAAAGAAAUUACUAUUGGACAUAGUUAAUUCUAGAGCAACAAGAAGAAUUACUUAUUCUAAUGAUGGCAUGAGGAUGACCAGAGAAAUAGCUUAUGUAUACAUACACCUAUUAGGAUGUCCUUGAUAAAUAUAUUAAAUACUAAUAAAUUAUGGAUGCAUGACUAACUAAGAUAUAUUUAGAAGGGAAAUUGUUCGUAUAGAAAGUUUGAGGACCCUGGAUAAGCAAACAGAUCCUCGAAAUAUUAAGAACGAAAUUGGUAAAGUAAGAACAGUUACUAGUUUGCAAGUAGAAAAUUAGAAAUUCCAGUAUUGAGAAUUUCGUUUUCUACCAAGAAACAUUUCUUUAUAUGUGAUAAAAUGAACAUAGUUAAUGAUCAAUGAAAGUUUACUCGCAAAUAGUUGGCAAAGUAAGAAGGUUCAACCAUUUGAUCUAGAUGAAUAAUACUCCCAUCUUGAUCACAAAUGAAUAGCUUGAAAGGUUUGGAAGUUCAAGUUUCCUAAAGUUAUCUAACAUAACCUUAGUCGGAGGCUUCUCGGAUUGUCUUCCAAAGAUAAGAUGGAUUACUUUUACUUGGCAUUCUCUUCCUCAAAUUUUUGGGGCAGUCAAUAUGCAUUCAACCAAUAUAUUCUACUUGAACUUUCUGACAAUCACUUUACAGGUGAUUCAUAGGUGUGGAGCUUAAUCAAGAUUAUCGUGUAUAGAUGGCAACCAGAUUAAAGGUUCUAGCUCUCAAAAAGUGUUUCGGUAUUUCCAAAACUCCAGACUUCUCUAAGUGCUUGAUGUUAGAGACUUUGACUCUUGAAAGAUGCGCAACUUGACGGGAAAUUGACUGUUCAAUUGGAAGACUGAAGUGCCUGAUUGACUGAAUAUAAACAACUGCUUGCGUCUUGGCCUAAAGAAAUCAGAGGGCUAGUGAAACUAAAGCAUGUCUCUUUGACAGAUUGCUUUAGGGGGAGCAAACUUCCCGACUAAAUUGGGAAAUUAGCAUCUUUGACAGAGUUGUAUCUACCAAACAUGAGAGUUACAAGCUUACCUGAUUCAAUUUGUAGAUUAAAAUGUUUGUGCACUCUCCAUGUAUCAAGAAUGUCAAUCACUGAACUUCCAGAAGUGUGCUAAUGAAGCUCGAGUCUCUCUCUCUCUGAUUAACACUAAGAUUAGAGAGUUUCCUAUCUCCAUCGGAAAGCUGAAAUCACUGAGUGUGUUGGUUUUUCGUGUAAGAUGACACCUAUCUCAACUGGAAAAGGGCGGAAGUUACUUAGUGCUACUGGUAUGUUGGAGAAUCCUGAGGAGAUACAUGCUGUGACCGCUGUAAAGAAUUGGAAGGCAAAAUUCCUAAUGAGUUGGAAACUUGCUUUUGUUCAGAAUCCUGACCUAAUCAGGUACACGAAUAGACACAUUUCCUAGCAUAAUCAUGCUUCCUAGUCUCCAAAGAUGGACUUAAGUAGAUGUCACGAGAUUCAAGAUUUGCCAGAGCUUCCACGAGCUUGAUUUGUUUACGUGUCAAAUCUCACUCACUACUGUUGGUCCAUAAUCUCCUGAACUUGACUAAUUUGGAGGAAUUGUUCGUUUCUGCUGGCUCCAGAUAUACAAACAAAUCAGAUCUACUGCAGACUUCUGAUUUAUCGUGGAUUGUGAGGUUAUCCAAAAUGAACAAGUUGGAACUGUGCCUCUGGAACAACCUUGCACCGCCUACAGAGUUAAGCUCACUUUCUCUCAUGGAAGAACUUACUUUGUCCAGUCUGGACCUGCAGCCUCUCCUGCAGCUUCCGUCUUCCAUGUUGGAGUUGCGGCUUGAUAACUUCAACUCGACCAGAUCACUAUCAUCCAACUUGAAAAGUUUGUCGAUGUUAGUGCUUUAGGGCUCUCAAGUGAAAGAAAUACAGCUCCAUGAGAGCUUCCACAGUCAACAAAUAUGACUGUGGAGUGGUGUAAACUCCUAGAGAGAUUGUUCAUUCUGUCAAGUUUAAGGAACGUUAUCCAAGCCCGGAUGUGAAAAUGCUCAAAGCUGGUGUGAUAAAAUCACUGCAGUACUUGUCAAUCAAGGAUUGGCAGUCUGUACAAAGGUUAAAUGCUAAAUUCCCAGUGAAAUAGUCUUCGAGUGAGUUGACCUUUGUGGGAGAGAGUGCCCAUUCAAUCAACCACCCUAAAGAAGCUAAAGAAUGCAGUUUUGUAAGUUGUGAAAAGAUACUCAAAAUUCAAGUUGUCGGUAUGUUGGAAUCAUUGGAGUACUUUCUUCUUUACAAUUGCCAUGCUAUGAAAAGGGAAGGCGGUCUGCCAAACACAAGAAUCUGCACCAUUUAGCCAUCGGGAGGUGUUCUGGAUUAAGGGUUGUCAAGGGACUAAACCAAUUAGAGAUUCCGGAUGAGUUGAGUUUCUACGGGUGUUAUUCACUGAAAGGCCGACAGGUGUGUGCUCCCCAAAAAACCAGAUGAAUGCCAAUUAUGUUUUAGUAACUGCGGGAAGUUACUUGAAUCCAGUCCAGACAAAGACAACAUCUUAUUUGAGCACUAUGGAGAGGUGGUUCUUCAAGUAACAGCAGAAGCCAAAUCAGAGACCAAGAACUCUGAAUUGGAGACUGAAAAGAUAUGCCUCCUCCAUGGACUAUUUGAUAAUAGGCAAUGGCAUCGUUCUUUCCUUUCCAUUUUCUUUAGUCUUCUCUCUUUGGUCAUAAUCUUCCAUUCAUUGACUUUAUCUACAAAAUUUGUUCAUACAGACAUGAAAA